rnacentral:rRNA from 1 species
UACGUAGGGUGCGAGCGUUAAUCGGAAUUACUGGGCGUAAAGCGUGCGCAGGCGGUUUUGUAAGACAGGCGUGAAAUCCCCCGGCUUAACCUGGGAACUGCGUCUGAUACUGGAAGGCUUGAGUAUGGGAGAGGGAUGUAGAAUUCCAGGUGUAGCGGUGAAAUGCGUAGAUAUCUGGAGGAAUACCGGUGGCGAAGGCGGCAUCCUGGACCAUUACUGACGCUGAGGCGCGAAAGCUAGGGGAGCAAACGGG